rnacentral:rRNA from 1 species
UACGUAGGGUGCGAGCGUUAAUCGGAAUUACUGGGCGUAAAGCGUGCGCAGGCGGUUUCGUAAGACAGAUGUGAAAUCCCCGGGCUUAACCUGGGAACUGCGUUUGUGACUGCGAGACUUGAGUGCGGCAGGAGGGGGGUGAAUUCCACGUGUAGCAGUGAAAUGCGUAGAGAUGUGGAGGAACACCGAUGGCGAAGGCACGCCCCCGUGGGUCGACACUGACGCU